rnacentral:rRNA from 1 species
GAUGAACGCUGGCGGCGUGCCUAAUACAUGCAAGUCGAGCGAACGGACGAGAAGCUUGCUUCUCUGAUGUUAGCGGCGGACGGGUGAGUAACACGUGGAUAACCUACCUAUAAGACUGGGAUAACUUCGGGAAACCGGAGCUAAUACCGGAUAAUAUUUUGAACCGCAUGGUUCAAAAGUGAAAGACGGUCUUGCUGUCACUUAUAGAUGGAUCCGCGCUGCAUUAGCUAGUUGGUAAGGUAACGGCUUACCAAGGCAACGAUGCAUAGCCGACCUGAGAGGGUGAUCGGCCACACUGGAACUGAGACACGGUCCAGGCUCCUACGGGAGGCAGCAGUAGGGAAUCUUCCGCAAUGGGCGAAAGCCUGACGGAGCAACGCCGCGUGAGUGAUGAAGGUCUUCGGAUCGUAAAACUCUGUUAUUAGGGAAGAACAUAUGUGUAAGUAACUGUGCACAUCUUGACGGUACCUAAUCAGAAAGCCACGGCUAACUACGUG